rnacentral:rRNA from 1 species
UACGUAGGGGGCAAGCGUUGUCCGGAUUCAUUGGGCGUAAAGAGCGUGUAGGCGGCCUGGUAGGUCGGUUGUGAAAACUCGAGGCUCAACCUCGAGAUGUCGAUGGAAACCGUCUGGCUAGAGUCCGGAAGAGGAGUGUGGAAUUCCUGGUGUAGCGGUGAAAUGCGCAGAUAUCAGGAAGAACACCUAUGGCGAAGGCAGCACUCUGGGACGGUACUGACGCUGAGACGCGAAAGCGUGGGGAGCGAACAGG